AAGAAAAUUCAGGGACGUUUUAGAUGGCUUGAUGGAAAUAAAAUAAUGACGUACAAUUCCUGGGAAUUCUAUCAGCCAGACAACUUCCUCGGACAUGAGAAAUGUGUAGAGGCGAACUAUAUAUACUUGGGGCUCUGGAAUGAUCAGAAGUGCGGGAAGAAGAGAGCCUUUGUCUGCCAAAAGCAAAUGUGAUCAU